rnacentral:rRNA from 1 species
AGAAUCAACGCUGGCGGCGUGCCUAACACAUGCAAGUCGAACGAGAAAGGGUAGCAAUACCUGAGUAAAGUGGCGCACGGGUGAGUAACACGUGACUAACCUACCUUUUAGUGGGGGAUAACCUAGGGAAACCUGGGCUAAUACCGCAUAAUACCUACGGGUCAAAGCAGCAAUGCGCUGAAUGAGGGGGUCGCGGUCGAUUAGUUAGUUGGCAGGGUAAUGGCCUACCAAGACUGUGAUCGAUAUCCGGCCUGAGAGGGCGCACGGACACACUGGAACUGAAACACGGUCCAGACUCCUACGGGAGGCAGCAGUGGGAAUUUUGCGCAAUGGGGGAAACCCUGACGCAGCAACGCCGCGUGGAGGAUGAAGUCCCUUGGGACGUAAACUCCUUUCGAUCGGGACGAUAAUGACGGUACCGGAAGAAGAAGCCCGGCUAACUCGCGCCAGCAGCCGC